rnacentral:rRNA from 1 species
AGGGCGAGCUACCUGGUGACAGGAUGCGAAUCUCGAAAGCCGGUCUCAGUUCGGAUUGCAGGCUGGAACUCGCCUGCAUGAAGUUGGAUUCGCUAGUAAUCGCGCAUCAGCCAUGGCGCGGUGAAUACGUUCCCGGGCCUUGUACACACCGCCCGUCAAGCCAUGAAAGUCGGGGGUGCUUGAAGUACGCUUACCGCAAGGGGCGUCCUAAGGCAAAACCGAUAAUUGGGGCUAAGUCGUAACAAGGUACC